GGUUGGGUAGCUCAGUUGGUUAGAGCACUGCGCCGGGAUUGCAGAGGCCCAGGUUCAAGCCCUGGCCUGGCCG